UUUUAUUUGAGAGUUUGAUCCUGGCUCAGGAUGAACGCUGGCGGCGUGCCUAACACAUGCAAGUUGAGCGAUUUACUUCGGUAAAGAGCGGCGGACGGGUGAGUAACGCGUGGGUAACCUACCCUGUACACACGGAUAACAUACCGAAAGGUAUGCUAAUACGGGAUAAUAUAUUUGAGAGGCAUCUCUUGAAUAUCAAAGGUGAGCCAGUACAGGAUGGACCCGCGUCUGAUUAGCUAGUUGGUAAGGUAACGGCUUACCAAGGCGACGAUCAGUAGCCGACCUGAGAGGGUGAUCGGCCACAUUGGAACUGAGACACGGUCCAAACUCCUACGGGAGGCAGCAGUGGGGAAUAUUGCACAAUGGGCGAAAGCCUGAUGCAGCAACGCCGCGUGAGUGAUGAAGGCCUUCGGGUCGUAAAACUCUGUCCUCAAGGAAGAUAAUGACGGUACUUGAGGAGGAAGCCCCGGCUAACUACGUGCCAGCAGCCGCGGUAAUACGUAGGGGGCUAGCGUUAUCCGGAUUUACUGGGCGUAAAGGGUGCGUAGGCGGUCUUUCAAGUCAGGAGUGAAAGGCUACGGCUCAACCGUAGUAAGCUCUUGAAACUGGGAGACUUGAGUGCAGGAGAGG
rnacentral:rRNA from 1 species